UACGUAGGGUGCAAGCGUUGUCCGGAAUUAUUGGGCGUAAAGAGCUCGUAGGCGGUUUGUUACGUCGGUUGUGAAAACCUGGGGCUCAACCCCGGGCCUGCAGCCGAUACGGGCAAACUAGAAUUCGGUAGGGGAGACUGGAAUUCCUGGUGUAGCGGUGAAAUGCGCAGAUAUCAGGAGGAACACCGGUGGCGAAGGCGGGUCUCUGGGCCGAUAUUGACGCUGAGGAGCGAAAGCGUGGGGAGCGAACAGG
rnacentral:rRNA from 1 species